CAGGAUCGACAGGCAGGCAGACUAACAAUUCCAAGGAACUGAACUACUGGGAACCAGUUCUCUACAAGAACCACUUCUCGAUUCCAAUCCCUAUCUACAACCAUUUUAUGAUCAUAACAGCAGACAAUCACUGGUGUAUUUGCGAACCAUGCUGUUGUUUUGCUUCAUGAGUGGAGUGGAACAAUGCGUCUGUGCAUGAUAAGAUGAAGAAAACAUGAUGAGCAUGAACUACAGGAUUAAGUAUCAGGAUAAUUUACAUCAUGGAGCCCUGCUCUCAAAGGCUGAUAUAGUUUUAACACUGUGUGUGAAGCUGAAUGUAAGAAAUAAGUGGACUGGUGCCAGCUGAACUACCUCCAGAUCAAUGCCAGUAAAACCAAGGAGCUGGUGGUAGA